CACAAGGAUUGCCCAAAAAGGCUCCACCUCCAUUUCAUAUAUAUGUAUAUAUUAGAUUAAUAUGUAUGAUACAACGAUGAUACAGGCGAUGGCACCACCUGAUCAGAGAACUACAGGAACAUUCCAGGGAAAACAUAUAAUCUAAGGUAACAGCUCUUAACGUGAAUCUCAAGAAAUACUGCUAAGAGUCUGAUAAACCGAAAGCAUAGCAUGUACACCGGGG
rnacentral:misc_RNA from 1 species